CACGUCAGUCUCACACACUGAAGGUCCCCGGUUCAAGUCCGGGCUCAGACA
rnacentral:tRNA from 1 species